UUAGGGGUAGUUUAUAAAGAAUAAUAACUUUGGGAGUUAUAGGACAAUUUUUAAUUGCCCUUAAA
rnacentral:tRNA from 1 species